GGAAAUCGGCUUUAUGUUUACUGGUUCGGGAUUUCUAAGGACGAAGAUGAAAGAAUGAAAUAAGGUUUUUGAACAUGUAUGCAUGCUAAUGAAUGCAGAUGUAUGAUUAUGGAAAACUUUUUAUUUUUUUAUUUUUUAGGGAAUAUCGUAGACUUGUUAGUUGUUUAUAAGCAUUCAGAAGCAUGGGAGCAAAACAGAAGAUAAAACCAAAUUGGUGCAAAAGCCAACUUAUUCAUUCAUUCAUUCAUUAGAAGAAGCAAAUGAAAUGUUUGAAAAGAUAAGUACAAGGUCAAUCGGACUACAUUCUUUGCUCUUGAAUUUUUAAGCACUUCUAAGUCAGCCAUAAACUUUUU
rnacentral:lncRNA from 1 species